rnacentral:rRNA from 1 species
ACGAACGCUGGCGGCGUGCCUAAUACAUGCAAGUAGAACGCUGAAGGAGGAGCUUGCUCUUCUGGAUGAGUUGCGAACGGGUGAGUAACGCGUAGGUAACCUGCCUGGUAGUGGGGGAUAACUAUUGGAAACGAUAGCUAAUACCGCAUAAUAACAGUUGUUGCAUGACAACUGUUUGAAAGGUGCAAUUGCAUCACUACCAGAUGGACCUGCGUUGUAUUAGCUAGUUGGUGGGGUAACUGCUCACCAAGGCGACGAUACAUAGCCGACCUGAGAGGGUGAUCGGCCACACUGGGACUGAGACACGGCCCAGACUCCUACGGGAGGCAGCAGUAGGGAAUCUUCGGCAAUGGACGAAAGUCUGACCGAGCAACGCCGCGUGAGUGAAGAAGGUUUUCGGAUCGUAAAGCUCUGUUGUAAGAGAAGAACGAGUGUGAGAGUGGAAAGUUCACACUGUGACGGUAUCUUACCAGAAAGGGACGGCUAACUACGUG